rnacentral:tRNA from 1 species
GCGGGCGUAGUUUAGUGGUCAAAUUCAAGCUUCCCAAGCCUGAGAUGUGGGUUCGAUUCCCAUCGUCCGCU